UAGGCUGAUGAUGACUGCCGGUGGCAUAUGAGUCUUAUAUGUUGAAUAUGUGUCUGGAGCUCUGAGGUCCAU